UACGAAGGGGGCUAGCGUUGUUCGGAAUUACUGGGCGUAAAGCGCACGUAGGCGGGUAUUUAAGUCAGGGGUGAAAUCCCAGAGCUCAACUCUGGAACUGCCUUUGAUACUGGGUACCUAGAGUAUGGAAGAGGUAAGUGGAAUUCCGAGUGUAGAGGUGAAAUUCGUAGAUAUUCGGAGGAACACCAGUGGCGAAGGCGGCUUACUGGUCCAUUACUGACGCUGAGGUGCGAAAGCGUGGGGAGCAAACAGGAUUAGAAACCCGUGUAGUCC
rnacentral:rRNA from 1 species